rnacentral:rRNA from 1 species
CACUCCUACGGGAGGCAGCAGUGGGGAAUAUUGGACAAUGGGCGCAAGCCUGAUCCAGCCAUGCCGCGUGAGUGAUGAAGGCCCUAGGGUUGUAAAGCUCUUUCACCGGUGAAGAUAAUGACGGUAACCGGAGAAGAAGCCCCGGCUAACUUCGUGCCAGCAGCCGCGGUAAUACGAAGGGGGCUAGCGUUGUUCGGAUUUACUGGGCGUAAAGCGCACGUAGGCGGACUAUUAAGUCAGGGGUGAAAUCCCGGGGCUCAACCCCGGAACUGCCUUUGAUACUGGUAGUCUUGAGUUCGAGAGAGGUGAGUGGAAUUCCGAGUGUAGAGGUGAAAUUCGUAGAUAUUCGGAGGAACACCAGUGGCGAAGGCGGCUCACUGGCUCGAUACUGACGCUGAGGUGCGAAAGCGUGGGGAGCAAACAGGAUUAGAUACCCGAGUAGUCCCAUGAU